GCCCGGUUAGCUCAAUCGGUAGAGCGUGAGACUCUUAAUCUCAAGGUUGCGGGUUCGACCCCCGCAUUGGGC
rnacentral:tRNA from 1 species